UACGUAGGUGGCUAUUCAAGUUAGUGGUGAAAUUCCGGGGCUCAACUCCGGCGCUACCACUAAGACUGUUUAGCUUGAGUGCAGGAGGGGGUAAGUGGAAUUCCUAGUGUAGCGGUGGAAUGCGUAGAUAUUAGGAGGAACACCAGUGGCGAAGGCGACUUACUGGACUGUAACUGACACUGAAGUACGAAAGCGUGGGGGAGCAAACA
rnacentral:rRNA from 1 species